UUCUCGUGGUAUAUUCAAACC
rnacentral:piRNA from 1 species